rnacentral:rRNA from 1 species
GACGAACGCUGGCGGCGUGCUUAACACAUGCAAGUCGAGCGGUAAGGCCCUUUCGGGGGUACGACGAGCGGCGAACGGGUGAGUAACACGUGGGUGACCUGCCCUCAGCUCUGGGAUAAGCCUGGGAAACCGGGUCUAAUACUGGAUAUGACUCCAUGACGCAUGUUGUGGGGUGGAAAGCCUUGUGCGGCUGAGGAUGGGCCCGCGGCCUAUCAGCUUGUUGGUGGGGUGANGGCCUGCCAAGGCGACGACGGGUAGCCGGCCUGAGAGGGCGACCGGCCACACUGGGACUGAGACACGGCCCAGACUCCUACGGGAGGCAGCAGUGGGGAAUCUUGCGCAAUGGGCGAAAGCCUGACGCAGCGACGCCGCGUGAGGGAUGACGGCCU